AUUGAACGCUGGCGGCAGGCUUAACACAUGCAAGUCGAGCGGGGUGAUGGUGCUUGCACUAUCACUUAGCGGCGGACGGGUGAGUAAUGCUUAGGAAUCUGCCUAUUAGUGGGGGACAACAUCUCGAAAGGGAUGCUAAUACCGCAUACGGCCUACGGGAGAAAGCAGGGGAUCACUUGUGCCCUUGCGCUAAUAGAUGAGCCUAAGCCGGAUUAGCUAGUUGGUGGGGGAAAGGCCUGCCAAGGCGACGAUCUGUAGCGGGUCUGAGAGGAUGAUCCGCCACACUGGGACUGACACACAGCCCAGACUCCUUCGGGAGGCAGCAGUGGGGAAUAUUUGACAAUGGGGGGAACCCUGAUCCAGCCAUGCCGCGUGUGUGAAGAAGGCCUUAUGGUUGUAAAGCACUUUAAGCGAGGAGGAGGCUCUUUUGGUUAAUACCCAAGAUGAGUGGACGUUACUCGCAGAAUAAGCACCGGCUAACUCUGUGCCAGCAGCCGCCGCCG
rnacentral:rRNA from 1 species